rnacentral:lncRNA from 1 species
AGGAACAGCCUCUUCAAACCUUGCACCCGGCUCUGCCGGGCCAGCAGCACCUCAGCUGGGCUCUCCAGGCAGCUCGGGGGGCUCAGUUCCAUCGUGCUGCAGCUGAUGGAGGAGCAGGGCCUGUCCAGCACCUUCCACGAGCUUGUGAAAUCUCUGCGCCUACCACCAACGGUGGAAGAGGAUGCGGACAGGACAGCUGUGUCUGUAUUCCCGACUUCCAUUUACCUUGGAGACAUGUGGUUUGGAACACAGGAGCUGGAUGUUACUUACCCAUGUCAUAUUGAUCUGCACUAGUGCAGAUUAUGAGUUACAGGGUGACUCAGACACUCGGAAACAAGGGGAAGAAACUGUUAUGUCUCUUUGCAAAAAAAUUUGGCUCCAUCAGGGCAUUAAUUCAGGGGACAAACACUUCACCUUUAACGUUCUUCUCUGCUCCGUCUGCAUCGCCAUGAGAGCCUCAUGAGCUGUUCUCAUAUAGACCUACCUUGUUUGGUUAAAAAAAUCCGUAUUUUAUUACUGGGUGCAAACUCAGGGGGAAGAUUUGAUUCAACAUCUCUCAGUGGGACAUAAAAGCUCCAAUUUCCCUUUUCUUGAACAGUUUGAGAGACAAUAUUACUUAUGUAAUUUUUAUGACAGGCAUUUUUAUCUUUUUGAAGAACCAAAAAGACUGUUUGUGCAUGUGUCUCAGCAGCAGGCCCAGCACAGGCAGGCAGGUUUGGAAUUUUCUUUGCUAUGCUGCAGAUGGAUUCAAGACAUCGUUCCUUUUUGUUUGACAGAAGGAAGACAAAAAAAAAAUCUUACCAAAAGCGGAUGUUUUCUUUCCUGACUAUCAAGCAGCCAAAUACCACCAGCUAGCUAUCCAUAUUUUAAAAUCAUCUGGAGAACUUGCAUCCCAGGGACCUGGGGAGUGUCUGAAGAGAGCUCUGGCCAGCUCUGUUAGCUGUUAAGCACCCUGGAACAGCAGAGAGGAGGCUGGAAGAGUUCCAGUGCCCCAGUACCCAGAGACUCACCUGGUCAGGGCAGGUGACUUAGGCAGUGCUGUGACUGACCUGGGCCCAGGC